UUGGAGUCAGACUGGGUGAUCUUUAAGUGUACCUUCCAGCUCAAAUGAAACUAUGAUUCUAUGAUAAAGCUGGAUUUUGAAUACUGGAGUAAUGACAUGGAUAUUUACUCACCUGCUAUAUAUUCGGUUGUAUGGGAACUGCUGAAUCAUGGCCUGAACCUCUGAUUGAUCACCUGAGGCGAGCAAUGAGUCAGCUAUGGGAGCACAGGUGAAGGCAAUUCUUCUGGAGAUCCCUCUUUUGGAGCUUUACAGCAAGCCAAGCAUAAGGUUGCUUGUCCAGGUAUGGAAACUGAUACUAGAAGCAUCAGAUUUUGAUGUCACGGUCUUGUACUCAUUACAAGCUGAAAUUCAUCACCUUCCAACCCAACUGCAUACCACAGUGUGAUCUGCCAAAAGAAAUGCCUAAUAACUUGGAGUGUGCACUCAGAUGCUAUCUGAGCAGGAAUGCAAAUGAUGCGCUGAACAUCGAUGGAGAAUACAGGAAAACAAAGAAGAAGGAAAUCAGACUAAGCCUGUGACUUUACCAUUGCAGAGAGGAGCACUAUGAUGCACAGAAGUACCCACAAGUGGCAUGGCUUCUCCAGACCUCCCAUUGCAUUUGGUAGUAAAACAGAUGCUCUAGCGUGUGUUCACGUGCAGCUACAUCCUGGCGUAACUGAAAAAGAUAGGUCUCUCGAUGCUAACGAAUAUUCACAAAUCCUUCCAUGAAUCCCGAGGCACCGCGUCUGAGAUGUGCCAGACGUGAGGCAAACAGCUCGUGCUGCGCACCGCUCCCUAAUAGCCGCUUUCUCUACGAGCACCUUCCCGA